rnacentral:rRNA from 1 species
AGAGUUUGAUCAUGGCUCAGAUUGAACGCUGGCGGCAGGCCUAACACAUGCAAGUCGAGCGGUAGCACAGAGAGCUUGCUCUCGGGUGACGAGCGGCGGACGGGUGAGUAAUGUCUGGGAAACUGCCUGAUGGAGGGGGAUAACUACUGGAAACGGUAGCUAAUACCGCAUAACGUCGCAAGACCAAAGUGGGGGACCUUCGGGCCUCAUGCCAUCAGAUGUGCCCAGAUGGGAUUAGCUAGUAGGUGGGGUAACGGCUCACCUAGGCGACGAUCCCUAGCUGGUCUGAGAGGAUGACCAGCCACACUGGAACUGAGACACGGUCCAGACUCCUACGGGAGGCAGCAGUGGGGAAUAUUGCACAAUGGGCGCAAGCCUGAUGCAGCCAUGCCGCGUGUGUGAAGAAGGCCUUCGGGUUGUAAAGCACUUUCAGCGGGGAGGAAGGCGUUAAGGUUAAUAACCUUGGCGAUUGACGUUACCCGCAGAAGAAGCACCGGCUAACUCCGUGCCAGCAGCCGCGGUAAUACGGAGGGUGCAAGCGUUAAUCGGAAUUACUGGGCGUAAAGCGCACGCAGGCGGUCUGUCAAGUCGGAUGUGAAAUCCCCGGGCUCAACCUGGGAACUGCAUUCGAAACUGGCAGGCUAGAGUCUUGUAGAGGGGGGGAGAAUUCCAGGUGUAGCGGUGAAAUGCGUAGAGAUCUGGAGGAAUACCGGUGGCGAAGGCGGCCCCCUGGACAAAGACUGACGCUCAGGUGCGAAAGCGUGGGGAGCAAACAGGAUUAGAUACCCUGGUAGUCCACGCCGUAAACGAUGUCGAUUUGGAGGUUGUGCCCUUGAGGCGUGGCUUCCGGAGCUAACGCGUUAAAUCGACCGCCUGGGGAGUACGGCCGCAAGGUUAAAACUCAAAUGAAUUGACGGGGGCCCGCACAAGCGGUGGAGCAUGUGGUUUAAUUCGAUGCAACGCGAAGAACCUUACCUGGUCUUGACAUCCACAGAACUUUCCAGAGAUGGAUUGGUGCCUUCGGGAACUGUGAGACAGGUGCUGCAUGGCUGUCGUCAGCUCGUGUUGUGAAAUGUUGGGUUAAGUCCCGCAACGAGCGCAACCCUUAUCCUUUGUUGCCAGCGGUCCGGCCGGGAACUCAAAGGAGACUGCCAGUGAUAAACUGGAGGAAGGUGGGGAUGACGUCAAGUCAUCAUGGCCCUUACGACCAGGGCUACACACGUGCUACAAUGGCAUAUACAAAGAGAAGCGACCUCGCGAGAGCAAGCGGACCUCAUAAAGUAUGUCGUAGUCCGGAUUGGAGUCUGCAACUCGACUCCAUGAAGUCGGAAUCGCUAGUAAUCGUAGAUCAGAAUGCUACGGUGAAUACGUUCCCGGGCCUUGUACACACCGCCCGUCACACCAUGGGAGUGGGUUGCAAAAGAAGUAGGUAGCUUAACCUUCGGGAGGGCGCUUACCACUUUGUGAUUCAUGACUGGGGUGAAGUCGUAACAAGGUAACCGUAGGGGAACCUGCGGUUGGAUCACCU